ACGCCGAUGGUGAAACGGUUAUCAUGCUUGCCUUCCAUGGCAGUUGAUGAAUGCGAGCAAGCGGUAGUGGUUCGACUCCCCUUCGGCGUA